rnacentral:rRNA from 1 species
GAUGAACGCUGGCGGCGUGCCUAAUACAUGCAAGUCGAGCGAACAGACGAGGAGCUUUCUCCUCUGACGUUAGCGGCGGACGGGUGAGUAACACGUGGAUAACCUACCUAUAAGACUGGGAUAACUUCGGGAAACCGGAGCUAAUACCGGAUAAUAUAUUGAACCGCAUGGUUCAAUAGUGAAAGACGGUUUUGCUGUCACUUAUAGAUGGAUCCGCGCCGCAUUAGCUAGUUGGUAAGGUAACGGCUUACCAAGGCAACGAUGCGUAGCCGACCUGAGAGGGUGAUCGGCCACACUGGAACUGAGACACGGUCCAGACUCCUACGGGGGGCAGCAGUAGGGAAUCUUCCGCAAUGGGCGAAAGCCUGACGGAGCAACGCCGCGUGAGUGAUGAAGGUCUUCGGAUCGUAAAACUCUGUUAUUAGGGAAGAACAAAUGUGUAAGUAACUAUGCACGUCUUGACGGUACCUAAUCAGAAAGCCACGGCUAACUACGUG